rnacentral:ribozyme from 1 species
UGCCCAGAAACUCCUAUCCCUACCUCCUCGCGGCACUGGCCGAGGUACGAGUAACCUUGGGGAAGAUCGGGUAACCAACCCCGGUGAAAACUUUGGUCGUAUGCUGACAGGGAAGU